rnacentral:lncRNA from 1 species
GAAGGGAAAUUUUCCCUUCUCCUCUAAAACGGUGUUGUUCAAAAGGAUUAAAUUGGAAUUUAAAAUAAAUAAAAGGGUAAAUUAAAAAAAUAAAGAAAACUUAAUUACAAAAACAUUAAAAGGCGGAGGGGCUAAAUAAAAUUCGCAGUGGUAUCACAUUCUCCCUUUUUUAAAAUCGUAAAUAAGUAAAAAAAUAAUCGAAAGAAAAAAAUAGUAAACCACCUUUAAAAAACUGCCAAUCGUUCUUUUUU